UCCAGGUUGGUGUAAUGGCAGCAUGGCAGAAUCUGACUCUGCCGAUUGAGGUUCGAUUCCUUGCCCUGGAU
rnacentral:tRNA from 1 species